rnacentral:rRNA from 1 species
CACGUAGGGUGCGAGCGUUGUCCGGAAUUAUUGGGCGUAAAGAGCUCGUAGGCGGUGUGUCGCGUCGGCCGUGAAAACCUGGGGCUUAACUCUGGGCUUGCGGUCGAUACGGGCAUCACUGGAGUUCGGCAGGGGAGACUGGAAUUCCUGGUGUAGCGGUGAAAUGCGCAGAUAUCAGGAGGAACACCGGUGGCGAAGGCGGGUCUCUGGGCCGAUACUGACGCUGAGGAGCGAAGGCGUGGGGAGCGAACAGG